UUAAGUUAUUAAGGGCGCACGGUGGAUGCCUUGGCACUAGAAGCCGAUGAAGGACGUUACUAACGACGAUAUGCUUUGGGGAGCUGUAAGUAAGCUUUGAUCCAGAGAUUUCCGAAUGGGGAAACCCAGCAUGAGUUAUGUCAUGUUAUCGAUAUGUGAAUACAUAGCAUAUCAGAAGGCACACCCGGAGAACUGAAACAUCUUAGUACCCGGAGGAAGAGAAAGAAAAUUCGAUUCCCUUAGUAGCGGCGAGCGAAACGGGAAGAGCCCAAACCAACAAGCUUGCUUGUUGGGGUUGUAGGACACUCUAUACGGAGUUACAAAGGACGACAUUAGACGAAUCAUCUGGAAAGAUGAAUCAAAGAAGGUAAUAAUCCUGUAGUCGAAAAUGUUGUCUCUCUUGAGUGGAUCCUGAGUACGACGGAGCACGUGAAAUUCCGUCGGAAUCUGGGAGGACCAUCUCCUAAGGCUAAAUACUCUCUAGUGACCGAUAGUGAACCAGUACCGUGAGGGAAAGGUGAAAAGCACCCCGGAAGGGGAGUGAAAUAGAACCUGAAACCGUGUGCUUACAAGUAGUCAGAGCCCGUUAAUGGGUGAUGGCGUGCCUUUUGUAGAAUGAACCGGCGAGUUACGAUUUGAUGCAAGGUUAAGCAGUAAAUGUGGAGCCGUAGCGAAAGCGAGUCUGAAUAGGGCGUUUAGUAUUUGGUCGUAGACCCGAAACCAGGUGAUCUACCCUUGGUCAGGUUGAAGUUCAGGUAACACUGAAUGGAGGACCGAACCGACUUACGUUGAAAAGUGAGCGGAUGAACUGAGGGUAGCGGAGAAAUUCCAAUCGAACCUGGAGAUAGCUGGUUCUCUCCGAAAUAGCUUUAGGGCUAGCCUCAAGUGAUGAUUAUUGGAGGUAGAGCACUGUUUGGACGAGGGGCCCCUCUCGGGUUACCGAAUUCAGACAAACUCCGAAUGCCAAUUAAUUUAACUUGGGAGUCAGAACAUGGGUGAUAAGGUCCGUGUUCGAAAGGGAAACAGCCCAGACCACCAGCUAAGGUCCCAAAAUAUAUGUUAAGUGGAAAAGGAUGUGGCGUUGCCCAGACAACUAGGAUGUUGGCUUAGAAGCAGCCAUCAUUUAAAGAGUGCGUAAUAGCUCACUAGUCGAGUGACACUGCGCCGAAAAUGUACCGGGGCUAAACAUAUUACCGAAGCUGUGGAUUGUCCUUUGGACAAUGGUAGGAGAGCGUUCUAAGGGCGUUGAAGCAUGAUCGUAAGGACAUGUGGAGCGCUUAGAAGUGAGAAUGCCGGUGUGAGUAGCGAAAGACGGGUGAGAAUCCCGUCCACCGAUUGACUAAGGUUUCCAGAGGAAGGCUCGUCCGCUCUGGGUUAGUCGGGUCCUAAGCUGAGGCCGACAGGCGUAGGCGAUGGAUAACAGGUUGAUAUUCCUGUACCACCUAUAAUCGUUUUAAUCGAUGGGGGGACGCAGUAGGAUAGGCGAAGCGUGCGAUUGGAUUGCACGUCUAAGCAGUAAGGCUGAGUAUUAGGCAAAUCCGGUACUCGUUAAGGCUGAGCUGUGAUGGGGAGAAGACAUUGUGUCUUCGAGUCGUUGAUUUCACACUGCCGAGAAAAGCCUCUAGAUAGAAAAUAGGUGCCCGUACCGCAAACCGACACAGGUAGUCAAGAUGAGAAUUCUAAGGUGAGCGAGCGAACUCUCGUUAAGGAACUCGGCAAAAUGACCCCGUAACUUCGGGAGAAGGGGUGCUCUUUAGGGUUAACGCCCAGAAGAGCCGCAGUGAAUAGGCCCAAGCGACUGUUUAUCAAAAACACAGGUCUCUGCUAAACCGUAAGGUGAUGUAUAGGGGCUGACGCCUGCCCGGUGCUGGAAGGUUAAGAGGAGUGGUUAGCUUCUGCGAAGCUACGAAUCGAAGCCCCAGUAAACGGCGGCCGUAACUAUAACGGUCCUAAGGUAGCGAAAUUCCUUGUCGGGUAAGUUCCGACCCGCACGAAAGGCGUAACGAUUUGGGCACUGUCUCAACGAGAGACUCGGUGAAAUCAUAGUACCUGUGAAGAUGCAGGUUACCCGCGACAGGACGGAAAGACCCCGUGGAGCUUUACUGUAGCCUGAUAUUGAAAUUCGGCACAGCUUGUACAGGAUAGGUAGGAGCCUUUGAAACGUGAGCGCUAGC
rnacentral:rRNA from 2 species